rnacentral:rRNA from 1 species
GACGAACGCUGGCGGCGUGCUUAACACAUGCAAGUCGAACGGUGAACCUCUUCGGAGGGGAUCAGUGGCGAACGGGUGAGUAACACGUGGGCAACCUGCCCCCGGCUCUGGGAUAACUCCAAGAAAUUGGGGCUAAUACCGGAUGUUCACCGCUUCCCGCAUGGGUGGUGGUGAAAAGGGUUUCCGGCUGGGGAUGGGCCCGCGGCCUAUCAGCUUGUUGGUGGGGUAGUGGCCUACCAAGGCGACGACGGGUAGCCGGCCUGAGAGGGUGACCGGCCACACGGGGACGGAGACACGGCCCAGCCUCCUACGGGGGGCGGCGGGGGGGAAUGUUGCGCAAGGGGCGGACGCCGGACGCGGCGCCCCCGGGGGGGGGAGGGCGGCUUGGGGUUGGUAAACCUCUUCCAGCGGGGACGAACCGCAAGGGACGUUCCCUGAAAAAAACGCCCCGGCAACCUACGUG